rnacentral:tRNA from 1 species
GCCUGAAUGGCUCAGUUGGUAGAGCAUGGGACCCUUGAUCUCGGGGUCAUGAGUUCAAGCCCCAUGUUGGGCC